CGGGUUUUUUGAGCGUGUCUCGUCGUUUCAAACUAAACGAAAUUUGCAAAAUACACAUGGUUGUGUGUUUUGCGUAAUAAUUUCGACUAAUCAUUGCUCUUUGAGUGUUGCACAAGUGUGGUGUUUUUGUGCUAAGUUCUGUUUGGCACGAAAACCUUAAGUCUAGUUCCGUCUGGCUUAAGUGUGAAACUGUUGUUCCGUCUGCAGUGAAUCCCAUAACUGGCAACAUGUCUGUGAGCAAAGUAGAGUUGUUUG
rfam:Wencheng Sm shrew coronavirus isolate Xingguo-101 ORF1ab polyprotein, spike glycoprotein, envelope protein, membrane protein, and nucleocapsid protein genes, complete cds.